rnacentral:misc_RNA from 1 species
GACAGAGGGUGCAAGCGUUGUUCGGAAUCAUUGGGCGUAAAGCGCACGUAGGCGGUUUGUUAAGUCGGAUGUGAAAGCCCGGGGCUCAACCCCGGACGUGCAUUCGAAACUGGCUCACUUGAGUCCCGGAGAGGGUGGUGGAAUUCCUGGUGUAGAGGUGAAAUUCGUAGAUAUCAGGAGGAACAUCCGUGGCGAAGGCGACCACCUGGACGGUGACUGACGCUGAGGUGCGAAAGCGUGGGGAGCAAACAGG